GCGUCGGUAAUGCAACGAUUCAACACGCGCCCCUGGAUAGAGUGAAAUAUGGGUUCGAAUCCCAGCCGACGCA